rnacentral:rRNA from 1 species
GAUGAACGUUAGCUACAGGCUUAACACAUGCAAGUCGAGGGACCGGCGCACGGGUGAGUAACACGUAUCCAACCUGCCCUUUACUCGGGGAUAGCCUUUCGAAAGAAAGAUUAAUACCCGAUGUAAAGGAUGGGGAUGCGUUCCAUUAGGUUGUUGGUGAGGUAACGGCUCACCAAGCCUUCGAUGGAUAGGGGUUCUGAGAGGAAGGUCCCGCACAUUGGAACUGGGACACGGUCCAAACUCCUACGGGAAGCAGCAGUGAGGAAUAAUGGUCAAUGGGCGUUAGCCUGAACCAGCCAAGUAGCGUGAAGGAUGAAGGCUUAUGAGUCGUAAACUUCUGUUAUAUAAGAAUAUGUAUUAUAUGAAUAAGGAUCGGCAAACUCCGUGCCAGCAGCCGCGGUAAAC